GCGGCGGCUACAAUGCAGUCGAGCGGUCUGAUUAGAAGCUUGCUUCUCUGACGUUCGCGGCGGACGGGUGAGUAACAUGUGUGCGACCUGCCUGGAAGACUGGGAUAACUCCGGGAAACCGGAGCUAAUACCGGAUAACAUUUUCUCUUGCAUAAAAGAAAAUUGUCUGAUGGUUUCGGCUAUCAUGUGCCCAUGUGCCCGCAGUGCAUUAGCUAGUUGGUGAGGUACCGGCUCAACAAGGCCACGAUGCAUAGACAACCUGACCAGGCGCUCUGCCACACUGACACUGACCCAACGCCCAGACUCCGACGGGAGGCGGCAUUAUGGAAUCUUCCCCAAUGCCCGAAAGUCCGACGGAGCGAGGGCGCGUGAGUGAUUAAGGCUUUCGGGUCGUUUAACUCUGUUGUAAGGGAGUAACAUUUACACGAUUAUCUGCUUGCACCUUGACCGUACCAAACCACAAAUCCACCGCUAACUACGUGCCAGCAACCGCGGAAAUACCUAGGUGGCAUGCGUUUUCCGGAAUUAUUGGCCCUAACGCGCGCGCUGUCGGUUUCUAAAUUCUGACGUCAAACUCCACGGCUCAACUGCGUAUGAUCAUUGCAAACUGGAGUACUUGAGUGCAGAAUAGAAUUGCGGAUGUCCCCGUGUAGUGCUGAAAUGCCUGGAGAUGUACAGGAGCACGCAGUGCGCCCCCCCCGGCUUUUUA
rnacentral:rRNA from 2 species